UACGUAGGGUGCGAGCGUUGUCCGGAAUUCUGGGCGUAAAGAGCUCGUAGGUGGUUUGUCGCGUUGUUCGUGAAAACUCAACAACUCAAUUGUGGGCGUGCGGGCGAUACGGGCAGACUGGAGUACUGCAGGGGAGACUGGAAUUCCUGGUGUAGCGGUGGAAUGCGCAGAUAUCAGGAGGAACACCGAUGGCGAAGGCAGCUGCCUGGCCCAGAACUGACGCUGAGGUGCGAAAGCCGUGGGGAGCGAACGGGA
rnacentral:rRNA from 1 species